rnacentral:lncRNA from 1 species
CUUGCACAACAUUAAAGAGAAUGGUUAGUUCCUGUGUGUUCUCUCUCUCGACUUGGAGUCAUCUUCUUCCUGGUUGCCUGUCAGAUUUUUGCUAACAAGUCCUGAACAUGACUGAUGUAUUUACAUUGUUGCCAUCUAGUGGUGAGUCCUGUACCAUUUCUCUAUCUUUUGCUCUUUAUU